UAGGGAAUAUUGGUAAUGGGCGAAAGCCUGAACCAGCAACGCCGCGUGUGCGAUGAAGGCCUUCGGGUUGUAAAGCACUUUUGACCGGGACGAGGAAGGACGGUACCGGUGGAAUAAGCCUCGGCUAACUACGUGCCAGCAGCCGCGGUAACACGUAGGAGACAAGCGUUAUUCGGAUUUACUGGGCGUAAAGCGCGUGCAGGCGGUCUGACAAGUUGGAUGUGAAAGCUCCUGGCUUAACUGGGAGAGGUCGUUCAAAACUAUCAGACUAGAGAGUGGUAGAGGAAGGCGGAAUUCCGGGUGUAGUGGUGAAAUGCGUAGAUAUCCGGAGGAACACCAGUGGUGAAAGCGGCCUUCUGUACCAAUUCUGACGCUCAGACGCGAAAGCUAGGGUAGCGAACGG
rnacentral:rRNA from 1 species